UACGUAGGGGGCGAUCGUUAAUCGGAAUUACUGGGCGUAAAGCGUGCGCAGGCGGUUCGUUAAUUCAGAUGUGAAAGCCCCGGGCUCAACCUGGGAACUGCAUUUGAAACUGGCGGGCUUGAGUGUGGCAGAGGGGGGUGGAAUUCCGCGUGUAGCAGUGAAAUGCGUAGAGAUGCGGAGGAACACCGAUGGCGAAGGCAGCCCCCUGGGCCAACACUGACGCUCAGGCACGAAAGCGUGGGGAGCAAACAGG
rnacentral:rRNA from 1 species